AACGAACGCUGGCGGCAGGCUUAACACAUGCAAGUCGAGCGCCCCGCCAGGGGAGCGGCAGCCGGGUGAGUACCGCGUGGGAACGUACCUUUUGGUUCAGAACAACUCCGGGAAACUGGAGCUAAUACCGGAUAAGCCCUAACGGGGAAAGAUUUAUCGCCGAAAGAUCGGCCCGCGUCUGAUUAGCUAGUUGGUGAGGUAACGGCUCACCAAGGCGACGAUCAGUAGCUGGUCUGAGAGGAUGAUCAGCCACACUGGGACUGAGACACGGCCCAGACUCCUACGGGAGGCAGCAGUGGGGAAUAUUGGACAAUGGGCGCAAGCCUGAUCCAGCCAUGCCGCGUGAGUGAUGAAGGCCUUAGGGUUGUAAAGCUCUUUUGUCCGGGAAGAUAAUGACUGUACCGGAAGAAUAAGCCCCGGCUAACUUCGUG
rnacentral:rRNA from 1 species